GUUUCUAUAGUUGAAUUACAACGAUGGUUUUUCAUGUCAUAGGUCUUAGUUAAAUGCUAGGUAGAAAUA
rnacentral:tRNA from 1 species